rnacentral:rRNA from 1 species
GGUUUAGUCAUGGCUCAGAUUGAACGCUGGCGGCAGGCCUUAUACAUACAAGUCGAACGAGAAAAACUAUCUUUGGAUACGAGUAAAGUAGCGAACGGGUGAGUAAUACAUGGGAAUCUGCAAUGGAGGGGGAUAGCUCAACGAGAGGCUGAAUUUAAUACCCGCAUAAUCUCUACACGGAAGUAAAGGGAAGCUGGCUCUCGCCAUCGGAUGAGCCUAUGCAGGAUCGAAAGCUUGUUGGCUGGAGGUAAUGGCUCCUGAGGCGACGAUCCUUAGCUAGUUGAGAGGAUGACCAGCCACAUCAGGACGUGGCGGCGGACUUCUACAGGAAGAGAGCAGCAGUAGAGAAUAUUGGACAAUGAGCAGAAAGCUUGAUCCAUCCAUGCAUUGGCAUUGACAGCUUAAGGGUUAUAAGCACUUUAAGGUAACAUGAGGAAAAGUUAAGUCUUAUGCAUCUAACCUUGACAUUAAUUAUCUCUUUCGGCUAAAUCCGUGCCGGCAACCAUGAUAAUACGGAUGGUGCAAGCGUUAAUCGAAUUACUGGGCGUAAGCGCAUGGGUAGCAUGCCUGGGAUUAGAUGUAGCAGAAAUCCCAAAACGCCUGGAACUGCAUCUAAAACUGGUAAGCUUGGUACUAGAGAGGAAAGUAGAAUUCUUAGUGUAGCGGUGGAAUGCGUAGAUAUUAAGAGGAAUACCUAUUAAGCGAGGCCAACUUUCUGGAUAGUGCUGUGCUGAGGUGCGAAGCGUGAGGGCAAGCAGAGUUAGAUACCACAAGUGUAGUCCGCCCAAUGAACAGAAAAGUGAUAACUAGCCGUUGGAUUUAUUCCGGUGGCGCAACAUUCAGUUAUCCGCCUGGGGAGUACGGCCGCAAGGCUAAACUCAAACAUAGACCUACAAUGAGGACACACAAGCAGUGGAGCAUGUGGUUUAAUUCGAUACCUUGCAAGCCACCUACAUGGCAUACUUCGAAUCUUUUAGAGAUAUAAAAAAAUUGCCUUCAGAAUAAGAAGAUACAGGUGCUGUUAACUGUCGUCAGCUCGUGUCGUAAGGAUCAUUGGGGUUAAGUCCUAUAACGAAGUACCAGCACCCACACAUAUUGCCAGCAGUUUGGCCAGGAACUAUAAAGGGAACUGCCGGUAAUAAGCCGGAGGAAGGUGGGGACGACGUCAAGUCAUCUGCUUGGCCCUUACGUGUGAGGCCACGUGCUACAAUAGGAAUACAAACGGUCGCUAAAGCGCGAGCUGACCGUCCAAAUGCGUCUCUUCGUAAUUAAUUGCAGUCUAGAACUCGUAGCUGCAUGAAGCCAGAAUCGUAAUGUCAGAUCAACAUGCCGCAGUGAAUACCGUUCUCGGGUCUUCCCUUUUCCGCCGUCACACCAUGAAAUUACAUUGCCAGAAAGUAGAUAAAGCAACCUUCAGGUUAGCGUUUACCACAUUAUUGGUCAUACGACUGGUGAAGUCGUAACAAAAGGUACUUUAGGGGAACCUGGGCUGGAUCACCUCCUU